UGGUCGCAUGCAUGAAGCAUUAAAUAUAUACGAAAAUAAAAACUAACUGCACAGUUUAUCUGUAAUUUGUGAGAUGAAUCUUUUGAGCCUAGUUACUCCAUGAUUGGACAAUGUUUGUCAAAUAAAAACGAAAUGCUACAAUACCAAAAAAACAAAAAAAUUUGCGAACUAAACAAGGCCUUAAUGAAGUUGUAUAGGGUUAAAUGCCAAACCAAAUAAACACUACUGCAGUUAUAAAAUUUAACCGUCGACACCAACAAUCAAGAAAUCAAAGUCAAGAAAAACAACCCAUAAAAACAAAACAGGACCCAACUAUUGGCCACCCAUAACCACUACUAUUUGCCUGAUAGUGCAUCAAAGAUGAGAGCUAAAUUGAUUAU
rnacentral:lncRNA from 1 species